CCUACGGGGUGCACCAGUGGGGAAUAUUGGACAAUGGGCGAAAGCCUGAUCCAGCAAUGCCGCGUGUGUGAAGAAGGUCUUCGGAUUGUAAAGCACUUUCGACGGGGACGAUGAUGACGGUACCCGUAGAAGAAGCCCCGGCUAACUUCGUGCCAGCAGCCGCGGUAAUUCGAAGGGGGCUAGCGUUGCUCGGAAUGACUGGGCGUAAAGGGCGCGUAGGCGGUUUAUGCAGUCAGAUGUGAGGUCCCCGGGCUUAACCUGGGAACUGCAUUUGAGACGCAUAGACUAGAGGUCGAGAGAGGGUUGUGGAAUUCCCAGUGUGGAGGUGAAAUUCGUAGAUAUUGGGAAGAACACCGGUGGCGAAGGCGGCAACCUGGCUCGAUACUGACGCUCAGGUGCGAAAGCGUGGGGAGCAAACAGGAUUAGAUACCCGUGUAGUC
rnacentral:rRNA from 1 species